AGUAUGUCCAUUCCCUUCCUACCCAUCAAGCUCCUCCACAGCCUAAAAUGUCUCCUACAAAGUCCCUCAGCACCUUAAGCCUCUUGAAAUAGACAUGCAUGAAAUAGAAAAUAGAGAGAGAGAAAUUAAGGAGUGGGAUAAGAUGAUGCAUAGAUAUGAUCUUCAUGACCCUUAUGAUAUAUAAAUCAAAUUAAGCUACUAUGCCAUGUUCCCUUUUUUCGAUGUUUGAUGAUCAAAAAG
rnacentral:misc_RNA from 1 species